ensembl:snRNA U6 U6 spliceosomal RNA
GUACUUGCUUUGGCAGGACAUAUACUAAAAUUGGAACACAGCAAAGAUUAGCAUAGUCCCUGCACAAGGAUGACAUGCAAAUUCAUGAAGUAUUUCCUUACCCA